rnacentral:snRNA from 1 species
GUGCUCGCUUUGGCAGCACAUAGAUCAAAAUUGGAGCAAUACAGAGAUCAGCAUGGCCUCUGCACAAGGGUGACACACAAAUUCAUGAAGCUUGCCAUAUUUUA